rnacentral:rRNA from 1 species
CAAUAGCGUAUAUUAAAGUUGUUGCAGUUAAAAAGCUCGUAGUUGGAUUUCUGGCAGGAGCGACCGGUCACACACUCUGUGUGUGAACUUGCGUUGUCUCUGGCCAUCCUUGGGAAGAUCCUGUUUGGCAUUAAGUUGUCGGGCAGGGGAUACCCAUCGUUUACUGUGAAAAAAUUAGAGUGUUUAAAGCAGGCUUAUGCCGUUGAAUAUAUUAGCAUGGAAUAAUAAGAUAGGACUUCGGAACUAUUUUGUUGGUUUGCGUUACGAAGUAAUGAUUAAUAGGGACAGUUGGGGGUAUUCGUAUUUCGUUGUCAGAGGUGAAAUUCUUGGAUUUCCGAAAGACGAACUACUGCGAAAGCAUUUAUCAAGGAUGUUUUCAUUAA